GUACAUGUCCAUAUCGGAUUUUCUAUUACAAAUGAGGCCCCAAAGUUACAGUGCCGAACAAUCUAAACUUCUGAGAUUUAUUACUACUGUUACAUUCAACGACUGUGCUCGUUUGUAUCAAUACGAGGCACUUCGAAAAAACCUUUUAGCGAAAAAGUAUUCAAAGUCAUUAAUGUUUGGGUCCCUAAUUGCAGUUUGUAAGCUUCGAUUAAUAGAGAUGUAUUGAUAUAGUAUCGGAUUUAUUAAAACGUACUUUAAAUUUAACCAAUACUGUUUUCACAUGCUAGGUAUAUGUGUAUUACACCUUUUAAUUACUUGUUAUUUAUUGGCAACCAAGGUGACGGAUAAAAGGUAAAUCAAUUAAAAAAAGUAACGAUUGCCGGCGUGACAUCGUUCGAUAAUAGGAAAGUGUACUUAAAUUGAAUGAAUUCACCUAGUUUUAAGGUUUCAUUUUUUACUCGGAAAGUGAUUGGUCGUAAUAUAAUAAGUAAUUUAAACAUUUCAACAUUAUCUGUUAUGUUUAUUAUUUAUAUAAAUUAUGUUAAUAUGGGUUUUCCCUCCGACAUCUACGUAGUCACUACUUUUAAUGAUUAUCAUUCACAAAUUAUAUAUAUAAGGGUCACAAACAUUCAUGUUGUUUUAUUUAUAAUAUUUUAAUCAUUUUUUUCCUUACAGUGGUGGCCUGAAUAUCGCAAAAGCGAUAAAGCCACCCGUUGAAUUCCAUAUUAUUUAACUAUUUUAAUUGUUUUUUAGGCGUAGUGAUAUAAGGUGAGCGCAAGAAGUGCAAAACUACAUAAGAUACACAAUUACUCAAAUUACUGAUUUAGCUAGGAUAAAUACAUACCGACGAAGGGAAAUACAAACAUGGACUACAUAUUAUUGAAAUAUCGUUGCAUCGGGGAUCUGUCACUAUCGUUAUGUCACGAUAUAAUCGAUGGGGCCUAAGUAUUAUUUAUGGCGCAUGGUGGACGCGUCUGAUAUUUGUACUGAAUCUGAUAUUGAUCUAUUACGCCUAGUUUGGAUUGAAACUAUAACUAUAUUCCAAGCUAAUAUAUAACUGUUAAAAUUGUUCCAAGCACUGACUAAGAAAAUUAUUUAAAAUUACGAAAUACAAACUGUAAAAAUACAAAUUAUAGUUUGUUGUCUUCAUCCAAAUGCUGUUAUAAUUCUAUACUGUAGAUUGUACGUGCUACUAGAAUAUAACUUGUAUUGUUCCUAUGAAUGUUAGCCCUUUAAAAAGGCUGCUCUAGUCCUUUUUAGGUCUAUAUAGUCAAUUAAUGUACACCUUAUUAUGUACACUUGUGAAGAGACAAACAGCACAGUAAGGAAAUCAAUACAAUUUUAUUUAUUUAUUUUAAUUGAAUAAUUUAUAGUUAAUAAUUACAAGUCCAUUGCAUUUCUGGCUUAACAAGGUGGGCGUCAAAUUAAAAUGAAGGAACAGUUGGUAUGUUU